AUUGAACGCUGGCGGCAGGCCUAACGCAUGCAAGUCGAGCGGAUGAAGGGAGCUUGCUCCUGGAUUCAGCGGCGGACGGGUGAGUAAUGCCUAGGAAUCUGCCUGGUAGUGGGGGAUAACGUCCGGAAACGGGCGCUAAUACCGCAUACGUCCUGAGGGAGAAAGUGGGGGAUCUUCGGACCUCACGCUAUCAGAUGAGCCUAGGUCGGAUUAGCUAGUUGGUGGGGUAAAGGCCUACCAAGGCGACGAUCCGUAACUGGUCUGAGAGGAUGAUCAGUCACACUGGAACUGAGACACGGUCCAGACUCCUACGGGAGGCAGCAGUGGGGAAUAUUGGACAAUGGGCGAAAGCCUGAUCCAGCCAUGCCGCGUGUGUGAAGAAGGUCUUCGGAUUGUAAAGCACUUUAAGCUGGGAGGAAGGGCAGUAAGUUAAUACCUUGCUGUUUUGACGUUACCAACAGAAUAAGCACCGGCUAACUUCGUG
rnacentral:rRNA from 1 species